CAGUAGCCGCGGGAAAACGAAGGGUGCAAGCGUUACUCGGAAUUACUGGGCGUAAAGGGCGUGUAGGCGGCCUGGGGCGUCCCAUGUGAAAGGCCACGGCUCAACCGUGGAGGAGCGUGGGAUACGCUCAGGCUAGAGGGUGGGAGAGGGUGGUGGAAUUCCCGGAGUAGCGGUGAAAUGCGCAGAUACCGGGAGGAACGCCGAUGGCGAAGGCAGCCACCUGGUCCACUUCUGACGCUGAGGCGCGAAAGCGUGGGGAGCAAACCGGAUUAGAUACCCCCGUAGUCCCUGUCUCUUAUAC
rnacentral:rRNA from 1 species